CACACCCACGGCCUUGCUCCUUGUUUUUUUCACCAUCAAAACCGCCCCCGACGGUCUUCAUUCACGAGCUUACGCGGCGUACGUCACGAGGGCGCGUAGGUGGAUGGAAAUUCAUCGACGAUUUAUCCAAAGGUGACGACGACGUUCGCGUUUCCGUAUCACAUGGACGAAAACUUCGGCGAGAACGCUUUUGUUCGCGAUAGUUCUGCCGUGUUAUAAGCUCUUCUCGAGUAUAUUCUCUCAGUUUUUAUUAACUACGGUAUACGAAUACACUGACAAGAAUUUAAUUUUUUACACUUUCUAGAAAACUCUGUAGCAAAAUAGGCAUUGUUAGGAGAGUAUAAAUAUUGUGCAAUGUUACGAGCUGUUAUUUAGCUUAUCAACCUAUUUGGUGGAAAUUUAUUGUUGCACCAGCAUCAAAUUAUUGGAAUAGUUACAAAAAAAAAAUAUAGUACGCUGAGUGACCGUGCGAUUCAAAAGCAAUGAAAAUAGCAAUACGUACCAGGUAUCCUGGUUACGGAAUCAAAACUAAUUUUUAUUUUCUACCCGGAUGUCAACUAACCGGGUGACACGGUAUUAUAAUGAUACAAAGAACUUUCUUUUUUUAAAAAUUUUCAGUGAUCACUUUUUUCGUUUAAUUCUGCAUCAUUUAAUCGCUGAAUAUCAUCAAUUGCAAAUCAAUGGCAUAAUUCCAUAGUUAGCUUUUAAAGUACGAAUUGGAAGGCUUAUACUUUUAUUCACGGUGGUUCCAACCACGAUAGCUAUGAAAUGAUUUUUAAUUUUUGUUAGAAAAGGUGCGACGCGAGAAGUUUUUUUGUGGAAUACCGAUUUCCUGUGAUCUUUGAUCAAUAUCCGUAAGCAUGUACCGAAUAGAAUCAAUCCAAGCAGGCAAGAAAAUACUUGUUAUAGUAAACUUUACAAGUAGUUAAAAUUUUAUGUGAACCGAAAAAGUUUCAAACUUUCACCGACGUUUCCCCUUAGAUAUUUUAUCUCUCGUUUAGCCUUAAAGAAUCACUUCGGCUCCACGGUUCGUAAUAUCAAAAGUCAAGUGGAUUAAAUUCUACCGUGUACUGCAAUAUUCAACAUGUGAUGAACGAAAGAAAGUAACCACAAUCAAGCAAAAUCAGACACACACAUUAUAUAUCGAUAUCACUUAUGGAGCUAUACUUUGGGUCACAUGAAAUCUGAAUUCCAAACUGCACUUUUAAUAUCGGUGGAUGGAUACUGCAGCACAUAUGUACAUUGUGCUCGGCAUGCGACGGAAGCCUUCUGUAAUAAUAAUAUUGGCCACAUACCAACUAAGGUGAUUUAAAAUAGCACCAAUUGCCGGCCUCUCCAUCACAACAAUUAAAUAUCAUUCUUAUUGUUAUUACCAUAAUUAAUAUUUGAAUCAAUAAAUCCCUUGGAUUACGAACAUAGUUGCUUUACAUGAAAAUUAUUCCGCAACCUCGAUUGAUGACAAAUUCCAGUAUUG